rnacentral:rRNA from 1 species
GUUUGACCCCCCGAAACCAGGCGAGCUACUUCUAAACAGCCACAAGCCAACCCUUCUCCGUCGCAAAGGAGUGGGAAGAUUUAAAAGUAGAGGCGACACACCUACCGAGCCUGGAGAUAGCUGGUUAUUUAGGAAAAGGAUUUAAGUCCACCUCUAAGUUUUUUUAGUAUAUUCAGACAAAAAUAAACUUACAAGUCAUUCAAAUAAGGUACAGCCUACUUGAACAAGGAAACAGCCUACAACACAGGGUAAUGUUCACCCCCCGUGAUCAGGUGGGCCUAAAAGCAGCCAACCUUCAAAAAGCGUCCAAGCUUCAUCACUACGACAAUCAAUCCUAUAAUCAACCCAUAACCCCCAACCACUACUAAAUAACCCCAUACACAUAUGGGGGAUAUAAUGCUAGAACUAGUAACAAGAAGAAGCACUUCUCCUAGAUAAAAGCUUAAGCCACAGUGAACCGUUCGCCGGCAAUUACCGCCACUUAAC